AUGUUUACUUCUCUCCUGAUGGACAAUGGGUGGCAAGGGCUUCAUUUGACAAGUCAGUCAAGUUGUGGAAUGGUAACACAGGAAAAUUUCUUGUCGCUUUCCGGGGCCAUGUAGGCCCUGUCUAUCAGAUAAGCUGGUCUGCUGACAGUAGAUUGCUUUUAAGUGGGAGCAAAGACUCGACACUGAAGGUUUGGGAUAUCCGGACGCAGAAGUUGAAACAAGAUCUUCCAGGUCAUGCAGAUGAGGUA